GGGUGUUACAAACUCUACCCCGCUUAAAAGAAUCUCGUCCUCGAGAUUGAAUAGUGCAUAAACAAACAGCUGUGGAUAUGCUUCUCUCUGAUCAUCCUCUCUUUCCCCAGUUGCUUGUGUCUCUAAAUACCAAUUCCAUUGUGCUAGCAAUCUCAACAUCUCUGGUUAGGUAGCAUACCUGGUAGCUUUUUUGAGAAAUCACCUAGAAAUUUAUUCAAUGCACUCUCCGGGAAAUCAAUAUCAUCAUCCAGCUGGUUCACUGUAGCUGUGGGUGGAGCCUGUACUGUACGUCAACACUUAUUCUCUCUCCCUUUGGUGUUGUCACAACUACUACUUUCUCUUUGCACUUAAUUUCCGUAGCAUAUUUCUUCAUCCAAACCAAACCCAAUA
rnacentral:lncRNA from 1 species